UAUGUCUUAAUUACAUUAAAAAAAACUUACUCUACCUCCAAACACUUGCUCCCAAACGAAGUGUAACUCUUCAAUGCAAAAAUAAGCAUUUCUAGGAAAUACAGAUCAAUCUAGCCAAGUAAAAAAUAGACCCAGAAAAGAUUCAAAAGAAAAGAAACCAUUGGAUUAUUGAUGUAUCACAGGUCAAUAACAUUUUUAAGCAAAGAAUUAAUAGCAGGUAGCUUCAUGAGGAAAAACUAAGAAUCAAGGGCAGAAAGAAAUAAAUUGACGAAAACCCAACUGCAAAGCUUAAUUUAACAAAGGAGAAAGAAUAAUAUGAGAUAGGAUCGAAGAGGAGGAAAGCAAGAAAGAAAUCAGAGAAAUUGUUAAGCAAGAAAGUCUCUUACCCUCUGUAGAACAUUCUCUCAACAAUUUGUUUUCUUUUCUAACACUUGUUCCUUCUUCCUUGAUUUCUCGAUUUCUUCCUUCCUUCCUUCCUUUGCCCUUAACUCGGCUCUCAACUCGAAGCUCUUUCUGCGUGUAGUGUAGGGCCUACCGGGCGGACGUAGACGAUGAAAAUGUGUUAGACAACGACGUCGUUCGCUCCUUCACUCAAAAGGAUUGGAUUUUGUGGGAUGGGGUGAACAUGGCCCAAGGUACCAUCUUUGGGCUAAAAUUAAAAAGCCCACAUCGGUUCUAGUCCAAUUGCCGGCCGGCUGAGGACGGCGGGGUUUGGUGGCUGUGGAUGGUAGGCCAAAUGUGACUGUUGCAGUCGUGAAUGGGUGAAUUUGGAGACUUUAUUUCCCGCAAGUAGAGUCUAC
rnacentral:misc_RNA from 1 species